rnacentral:sRNA from 1 species
UUCCUGAGGGAAGACCUCAAUUACCAUGACCCAACGGUGAAACACAGCACCUUCCACGGUGAGGAUAAGCUCAUCAGCGUGGAGGACCUGUGGAAGGCAUGGAAGUCAUCAGAAGAUGUGUGGUCUCCCUAUGUUGCCCCGACUGAUCUCAAACCCCUGAGUUCAAGUGAUCCUCCUGCCUCAGUCUCCCAAAGUGCUGGGAUUAUAGGCUAUACAAUUGGACCGUGGAUGAGGUGGUACAGUGGCUGAUCACAUAUGUGGAGCUGCCUCAGUAUGAGGAGACCUUCCGGAAGCUGCAGCUCAGUGGCCAUGCCAUGCCAAGGCUAGCUGUCACCAACACCACCAUGACAGGGACUGUGCUGAAGAUGACAGACCGGAGUCAUCGGCAGAAGCUGCAGCUGAAGGCCCUGGAUACAGUGCUCUUUGGGCCUCCUCUCUUGACUCGCCAUAAUCACCUCAAGGACUUCAUGCUGGUGGUGUCU